CUUGCUCCGGCCCCCUCCACCUUGUUUUAUUUUAUUUUAUUUUAAUUUAUUCCGAGUGUUUUUGGUUUUCUUUUUCUCUUUGCAUGAACUCAAAACACACCUCAAAAUCCACUCAAUCCCCAAAACCCUCUCUCCAUUUCUUGCUCUGAUUACAGUGACCCAAUUAAAAAAAAAAAAAAAUUCACUCUUUUGCACUUUCUCCAACUGGGUCUCUCUAUUUUACCAUGGAUUCCAGGAAUAUGAGGUGGGAAAGGGUCCAGCUCCAUCCGAAACACAGCCUGGGAGGAGCUCAACAACAGCAACAGCAACAGGUGGGUGAGAUAUCUGGGCCAGGGAAGAGGUGGGGUCACACCUGCAACGCCAUUAAAGGAGGCAGAUUUCUCUAUGUAUUUGGGGGGUAUGGGAGGGAUAACUGCCAGACAAACCAAGUACACGUCUUUGACACUGCUAAUCAGACAUGGAGCCAGCCUCUGAUUAAAGGCAUACCGCCCACUCCAAGGGACAGCCACAGCUGCACCACCGUUGGUGAUAAUCUUUUUGUAUUUGGGGGUACAGAUGGGAUGAAUCCUCUCAAGGAUUUGCAUAUACUAGAUACUUCGUCACGUACAUGGAUAUCACCAAGUUUAAGGGGUGACGGACCAGAGGCAAGGGAGGGUCAUAGUGCAGCCCUUGUUGGUAAACGUCUAUUCAUAUUUGGUGGCUGUGGGAAGUCUGCAGAUAACAAUGAUGAAAUAUACUACAACGAUCUUUACAUUUUGAAUACGGAGACAUUUGUAUGGAAACGCGCUGCGACCUCAGGCACUCCACCAUCUCCUCGAGAUAGCCACACUUGCUCAUCUUGGAAGAACAAUAUCAUUGUUAUUGGUGGUGAAGAUAGACAUGAUUAUUAUUUGUCCGACGUCCAUGUUCUUGAUACAGAUACUCUGAUUUGGAGGGAGCUGAACACUUCAGGCCAUCUGUUGGCCCCCCGAGCUGGUCAUGCCACUGUUGCUUUUGGCAAGAACUUGUUCGUUUUUGGGGGAUUUACAGAUGCUCAAAACCUUUACAAUGACCUCUAUGUGCUUGAUAUUGAUACUGGUGCAUGGACCAAGCUGAUCACUACAGGUGAUGGCCCUUCUGCUAGAUUUUCUGUGGCUGGUGACUGUUUGGAUCCAGUGAAGGGUGGUGUCCUUGUGUUUGUAGGUGGUUGCAAUAAGAGUCUUGAGGCUCUGGAUGACAUGUAUUACUUAUACACAGGACUUACCAGGGAAAAGGAAUGGAGGCUAGAUAAGUUAUCUCUGAGGAAGCAAUUGAAGCUAAAGUGUCAGGAGCAAAAUCUCACUCAUGCAAAUGACAAAGCUCUAGUUAGGGUUGGGAGGGACGCGGAUAUAUGCCAACCUAUCAUUCUGCCUAGUUAUGGCCAACCAGGCAAACAAGAUUUCCCAUGGCAUCAAUCCCAAUCUCGUCAAGGAAAGAAGACAUUUCAAGCCAAGGUUUCUGAAAACAUACCGGUUGGAUAUACUGUUGAAACUGUCAUUGAUGGAAAGCCUCUUCGUGGAAUAUUGUUUUCCAACAAGUCAAACUCAUACCAUACAGCUAAUUAUAAUUUAAGUAGGAAGAGGACUGCUGGGGAAGUUGGUGUUAUUUCAAAUGGAGAUUACAACAGCAAAUCAAAAGCUUCAAGAACUCCCAAGCAGGAUGUGAUAAAUCAUGGACAGGUAGACGGUGUUCAUGGAAAGGAGCCCACAUCACAUAAGCCCACGAAAGAAGCUGCCGCCGUUCCUGUUAUAAAGAAUCCAGCAUCUUCUGAUGCAUCUCAGCCCCCUAAGGUUGAUGUAAACCCAGAAGAGCCCGUGCUUCCCUCUUUGAAUCUGGAAGAUGAUCAGAAAAAUGACGCACCUAGUUCCAACAACGAAGUGCCAAGGGAGGAUAAGACAAAUGACAUUCCAAACUGCAAUACUGAAGUUCUGAAAGAGAACACAUCUACUGGAGCCAAGGAUGCUAUAACAUCAUUUCCAAGCCAAGAUGACAGGACAGCCACUACUGGUGAUCCAGCAAAAUGAAUUUGAAACCUUGGUCAAGCUUGACUUCUGAACAUAACCUAAACCACAAAUCACCAGCAAUUUGUACAUUCGUCGUUGCAAGGUGAUCAUAGAUGGAUAUGACAGCAAAAGAUUCAAUGGCUUGCAUCAAUGCACAUACUUCUGCUGGCCCCAUCUUUUCAAUGAGAUGUCAAAAUACCUUCAAUUGCUUUAAAUGUUUUCUCGCCUUUCAUUUGCUUCUUUUUUAUGGAAGUUUUAUUUUCCCAUAGUGUAUCCUAAAUUUUGGCCUAAUUCUUCUUCUGAUGAUCGAUUCAACCUUUGAUUAAGAAGGUUCAACCUUUGAUCAAGAAAAUAUACCUUGGUUAUAUUUCAUCUCUUCAAGAAGUUUAGUAAUGAGCAUAACGGCUUCCGAUGAAGAGAAAAACUUAUGAUUAGCUUUUCAGGAAAUCUUCAAAUGAACAAUUUCAACGAAAUUUUUCAAUUUACGAAAUCUGUUUUGAUAGAAUUUUGCCUGCAAAAUUUUCUGGAGAGGUUUUUUGGAGGCUCAUUGUUAUUUAUGUAUUACAUUGGAGCUUUGCGAAAGUUGUCUCCUCAACAAGCUUCACAUGAAAAUACAUUUUUGUGACUGGCUUAUUUUUA